CCUGUGUCCUGGGUCUGUGCCAAGCUCAGGACAAGCAGAGUUAAAACCGCUCUCCGCGGAAUGGCCUCAGCCUCGGCUCCAGAAAGGCAGCGCUGCAGGACCCACUCACUGGAGAAGAGCUGCCGCCAGUGGCGGCGAGCAACACGUUUGCGUCGAACUUCGCCGCGUCAGUCACGCCGGAGCGCAACAAUAAGCCAGGAAGCCUCGCCGUCCGAUCCUGUGGCUUGCGCGAACAAUCGCACCACCCCAAAAAAGACGCGGCUCUCCUCAGCCUCUUAUUGGCACCGAGCUUAGAUUCUGGCAGACAGUUAUUUCGCUCUCUGUCUUCCUCGGUUCCUCUCUUGGCUUUCCCACCCACCUCAGUCAGUCCCGCCAGCUCACUCCUUCUUUGCCUGCAGCUUCAGCAGCUCUGUGGCCGGCGUCAGCUCCGGUUUGCCCGGGCGUGGAUGAGGUGGGAAAACGAAGGGUAAGAAGACAACGACUGUGGUGACGGCGGCUGCUGUUAAGGAGCAAAAGGACUCCGCUGGAGGCAGAGAGCGAGUGGCACGUCUUAGGCUGCAGCAGCUCCUUCCAGGUGCCUGGGAGAAGAGAUGAGCCGCUGUCCCCGCCGGCACCCGAGGGCAAGGCAAGAGACGCGCAUAAUCUGCGGAAGGAGCCGGCGUGCAGCGAGCGGCCACUACAGUCUACCAGCAUCCGAAGACGGCUGCUGCUUGCAGCUUCUCCUUUUCCUCCUCCUAGCCGGCAAGCUCCAGGCUGCCGCUGGUCUUUGCCGCUUCCCUCAUUAACCUCCUCAGGAGGAGCGCUCCCACCAGAACGCCCUUUAGUCACGGAGGAGGCGAGUUAGCAAUUGUUAAUGGAGGGGUUUUAGUGAUGUGCCGGCAGGGGUUCUCUUACGCGCGCUCUCACUCACGUGCCUUAAAGGUACACCACUGUUUCACUCCCCGGCUUGGCGUUUAACGCUUGUGAAUGGGGCACAUAAGCCCCGUCAGAGAGGACGGGAAAGGCACGUGACACAGGAGCCAGCUCGUUCUCUUUUUUGGCGUGAAGGAGGGUUGCUGGAAUAGCAAUGAAGAAGGGGGCGGGGCUUUGAAGCGAAUGCCAGCAGGUGUCAAUGGAGGCAAGGAGAAAGAGAAACCUGUUCCAAAGGAGCAGAUGGAAUAGCAUGAGGUUUUCAGACGUGGAGCAAAGGAGACAGAAUAAGCAAAGAAGAGAAGCAAGAACAGACUACCUGUCUUCUGACUGCAAUUUUUCACAGAGUUCGUGGAGAGAAGGAUAUAUUCUGAUGAUCUGCAGGCACAUUGUUCAAAGGUGAGUCAUAUGACUGAACAGAGUAUAAAAGGCAUUGGUGGAUUCAGCAGCUGGCUGCACAAAUAUGCACAAAUAUGAAGAUCCUUUCAAUUAUUCUGCACUGCUUGACCAGUGUUUUAACUUGAAGAGCUGAAUCA